rnacentral:rRNA from 1 species
ACUCCUACGGGAGGCUGCAGUAGGGAAUCUUCCGCAAUGGACGAAAGUCUGACGGAGCAACGCCGCGUGAGUGACGAAGGUUUUCGGAUCGUAAAACUCUGUUGUGAGGGAAGAACAAGUGCCACGUAACUACUGGCACCUUGACGGUACCUCACCAGAAAGCCACGGCUAACUACGUGCCAGCAGCCGCGGUAAUACGUAGGUGGCAAGCGUUGCCCGGAAUUAUUGGGCGUAAAGCGCGCGCAGGCGGUCCUUUAAGUCUGAUGUGAAAGCCCACGGCUCAACCGUGGAGGGUCAUUGGAAACUGGAGGACUUGAGUGCAGAAGAGGAAAGUGGAAUUCCAUGUGUAGCGGUGAAAUGCGUAGAGAUGUGGAGGAACACCAGUGGCGAAGGCGACUUUCUGGUCUGUAACUGACGCUGAGGCGCGAAAGCGUGGGGAGCAAACAGGAUUAGAUACCCUGGUAGUCCACGCCGUAAACGAUGAGUGCUAAGUGUUAGGGGGUUUCCGCCCCUUAGUGCUGCAGCUAACGCAUUAAGCACUCCGCCUGGGGAGUACGGCCGCAAGGCUGAAACUCAAAGGAAUUGACGGGGGCCCGCACAAGCGGUGGA